UACAAGUCGAAGACGAAUAGCCCUGCCCGCGAGAGGGCGCAGCACGGCCGCAGGACCGGCCUCCUCCUCCACCCCGCGAGGCGGGGCCGGCCCCGUCUGUGGCGGCGAACGGCAUGCACACGCGGCCCUCGAGGUAGUAGACCAGGAGCACGACUGCACGAGCAUCCCCGGGACGAGAUGGAGCGGGAGAAGAACGGCGGCCGCGAGCGCACGGGCGGUGGAGCAACAGCUCUUCGACGGAGGCCAUAGCGGCGGCUGAGGUGUAUUCGCCGACCGCGGGGACGGCGAAGCAGCAGCAGCGAGGGAAGGCGGCGUCGCUAGCGUGCUGGCCGCUGUGAUAGUACAAGCUAUAAUCAGCAGGAAUCUCACAUUGAAAAAUAUGGUGCUGAUCCGAAGGAAACUGAAGCUCCAACAAAAGAAGAACAAAAAGGAAACAAUAAACGAGCAGCAACCUUGGAGUCUGACCAACCUGAGGACAAAGACACCAAUUCAAAAUUCAAAAACCUUAAACAGUGAUCAGCGAGCAACAUGACCAAUGGACUAUUUUCUAUACUUUUGUGAACUCGACAUCUUUUUCUACUAGAUGGGAUGAAGUCUGCAUAUAUUAUGCAUAGUGCCCUUUGAAUGUUAGUGCCAUCAAGAUUGUAAUAUGCAAAAGUUAACUAUGCUACACUCUAUUUACCCUGUCCAGAUGAAACAAUGGAGACAUCUUUCAAUCA